UUUAGUGAUAGAGGUGCGGUAUUUAAUAGUACUUAUGUUGAGGUAAGCACAAUGAUUCAUAAGGAAAGGAACUAUCGCCGAAGCAUAUAACUGAUGCUUUAAGGUUAUAUGACUGGUUUUGCAUAAAAUAUAUGCAAGAUUGUCGCAAAUAUUAUUUGUGGAGAGCUAUCAUUCAA
rfam:Clostridium botulinum D str. 1873 CLG.Contig181, whole genome shotgun sequence.